AAUUAACCAGCGAAAAAAAAACGCCCGACUGUGCGUCCUCGAGCGAGGCCUCGUCGCCCCGACACUGCCCUCCUUCGCCCGCCGCCGCCCUUCGGUCCCUCGGCCCGAUCUCCGGUCGCCGUCCUCCACCGCGUCGGCGGCCGCCGCGGCGUGGCGCCACCUGCUGCUCCUCCUCACCGCCCAACUACUCGUGCUCGCCCUCCUCGCGUUCGCGCUCCAGUGGCGCGGCGGCGGCGUGGACGACGCCGGCUCCCCUCGCCUGGCCGUGCCGGCCCCGUCGAGGCUGCAGUCCCUCCACUCCUCCGCCGCCUCCUGCGUCGAGGUGCUCGCCGCCCCCGCCUUCCCCUACCUCCGCGGCUGGUCCUUCCACUUCGACGCGCCGGACACCCACCACCCCAAAGUACUACCUUUCCAAUCUCACCUCCGCCCUCUUCCUCGCCGGUCGCCGGCCGAUGUGUCCGACCUGUGAAGCAGGAAGCUUGUUCGAUGAGAGAAAUCCCUGCCUCACGAUUUGCUUCGUGAAGGCCAGAAUUUCGCUCUUUGUUUGUCUACUGAAAAACCUCCAUGUGGGGAUAGAUGUCAUCAUAGAAUGCGUGCAGUAAAAUUAUUCUGACUGUAUUCUGUAUCAUUAUUUUGGUUAGUCUAAAAGAAAUAAUUUGGUUAGAUUUGUCUUGAAGAAUAGAUUCAACCUAUACUUCUAGGUUUUGAUACAGAAAAUAGAAAUUUGUUGCCAAAGCUGUGUAUGGAGACUAUUUCAGUAUCUGGAAGUACACUUGUGACCGGAGGCAUGGCCGCUGUUGCUGCCAACAUAGUGGCAGUGAGCGCAAUCUGGGAGUAACAAGCACACUGUUUAGUAGGAGGGGAUGGAGAGCUUUACAAAUGGGAAUGUUAGGUUAUUGAAGCAUGAACGCAGCAUUGUUGCAGAGGAUGAUCUUGACCGUCGGUGGCAGGAAGCCACUGGAGAGGCUGUUUCCGAGGUCUCCAACCGCUCCUGCACUCACUGUCCAUCCAAUCGGUGUGCCACAUCUGAGGGAGGAUGAGACCCCCCCCCCCUCAAGGUGGGAGGCCUGGAUGGGCAGCGGUGCCAAACCCUCGAAUUGGCCCAUGGUUCCGGUUGAUGCAAAAGGUUGCUGCAGACCAAGGUCUUGUUCCAGAGUUUGAGGUGUGCGUGCAAACGAGCACCUCCGCAAGCCUGGACCAGAUCCUGCCAUGGCUCUUCUACCAUAAGGUCAUCGACGUCGCACACUUUUUGCUCUUCGUCGAGGGCAAGGCCGCCAAGCCCAGCGUCGCCGGGGUCCUCGAGUCCAUCCCCGGGUGUGAAGGUGGUGUACAGGACCAAGGAGCUUGAGGAGCAGCAGGCCAGCCGAAUCCGGAACGAAACCUGGCUCGCGGGAUUCUUCUACAAGCCUUGCAACCACAAACUGUUUUUGAAGCAAGCACUCAACAUGGAGAUGGCCAUUGUGAUGGCCCGGGAAUCUGGCAUGGAUUGGAUAAUGCAUCUAGACACCGAUGAGUUGUUAUAUCCCGGUAGUAUUCCAUCAGACGCCUGUUAGCUGACGUCCCCGAUGAUGUUGACAUGGUUAUUUUUCCUAACUAUGAAAGCAGCGUCGAGCAUGAUGAUAUAAAAGAUCCAUUCAGUGAGUUGCCUCUGCUACCAUGUGGCAACGCAACCAUGAAGGGCUUGACGUGUUGGCUGUCAAGAAGCACUAGGUCAACGACAGGCAAGGCAUCCAGGAAGCCACAGCACGAGAGAGCGAUGACGCUCAAAGGGUGAGGUUGCCAAAUGGUGCGGUGACACUAGCUCGCUAGCCAAGCAGACUACAUUCUGGACUAUUUACACAUCAUGGACUAAAAUUGGACUAUUUACACAUCAUGGACUAAAAUUGGACUUCUUUCUGGACUCAUCUUUUAUAUAAUAUGUACUCAAGUCUGAUAUGCCUUUUAUUUAUUCUAUAAUUAAGUACAAUCUUUUAAGUUGCUGCUGAAGGAAGAAGACAUGGGGUCAGAAAAAUGUUAAGAUUGACUUGAUGUGUGGUAAGGAACAUCCAGUUGAAAAGUUUUUUAUGCUUGAACAUCCACUACUCAAUUAUUCUUUAAGGUAUGCAUAAUCUGCCAAGUUAUAAGCAGUUCCUUUUAUUUGGGCACGCAUAAUGACCGUUCCGCAGCAUCAGGUUCAAAAAAAAGUUCUUCAAGGUUAGUAAUUUUCUCCAAAAAAAAGAAGUUCUUCAAGGUUAGUAAUUAAUACUCCCUUCCCAUAUGGAUAUGCAUGAUGGUUGUUCAUUUUUUGGGAUAGCUUACCCAUCUUAUGCCUUGAAAACUGAGCUACCUCCAUGAUUAUGCAUCUGGUCUCAGUAAAAAAAAAUUCCGCCAAAAUACAGUUGUGAAGAGGAGUUCCUGAUGAUAGCUGAAUAUACCAGCCUACUUGCCUACAACCAAGGCAGAAUUAUCAGCGUGUAUGCGAAACAGCCCGCUAGCUGGGUGUGUGCCUCCUGUUUGAGCGAGAGGGAGGACCUUUGCUGGGCAGUCAAAGGAUGUGCUCGGAUAUGGUGGUCCAACUCCAAGGAACCAAUCAUCCAGAUGCCUUUCCUAGACUGAUGCAGAUGGAGCUUGCAAUCAGAUCCAAAGACUAAUGAAGCUGGGGCUGUCAAACUGACCAAAACAGCGGUGACUGUAGAUGCUGCUCACGCAUCUGUUGUUCCUGCGUGUUCGGGGGCGCGGAGGUGGGCGACCGGGCGCGGGAGGCGGCUCGGCACGGCGAGGCGAGGCCGGACUCGCGAGCACCAGGCAGGCGCAGCUGCCACCUGCGUCGUCCAAGAGCACACGCCCGCGGAGGGAUGUUGUGGCCUGGCACUAUCCGUCGUGGAGCUCGCGAGGGACUCCUUGUCAUGGGCGGGCGCUGCCUGUCACGGCGCUCGCGAGGUCCAGUUUAGGAUCCAUGGAGUCCAGAGCGCGGCGGCAGAACUGCGCAACGGCCGUCGCGGUGGGCGAGCGCGGCGGCGGCGACUGCAACUGUUGUUGUUGUUCCUGCUUGCGCGGCAGCGGUGACUGCAGAUGUUGCUCAUGCAUCUGUUGUUCCUGCGUGCGCGGGGGAGCGGAGGCGAUGGCGUUGCGGCGGCGAUGACUGCAUUGGGCAAACUUUUUCGUCUGCGCGGACACGAACAGACGAAAUGGGUCGGUCUGUUGCAGUUGCUCUAACUCCCUCCAUUCCUAAAUAUAAGCCUUCAGUUUGUGAUGUUGAAGAUGCUUCGUACUCCUUCUGAUCCUAAAUAUAUGCCUUCUUAGAGAUUUCAAUAUAGAGUAUGUAUGGAGCAAAAUGAGUGAAUCUACACUCUAAAAUUUGUCUAUAUCCAUCCGUAUGUAGUCCGUAUUGAAAUAUCUAAAAAGGCUUACUUUUAGAAAUGGAGGGAAUAACAAACAAAAAAGAUCACAUAACAUAAAUUGAUUGAUCAUAAAUUAUUGUUUUUUCUCCUAGGUGGGAUUGGUAGCAAAGCUGUUCUGUUGGACUAUGCAGUUCAUUGGCCAUGGAGUUUUUGAGGCAAAAAUCUCUAUCAAGCUAUUAAUGUUAGGUUAAACACUAGCUUUAGUAAAUUCCUGCCCAAGGAUUAUACUUGACACUUACUCUGACGGUAGAACCGGACACGUGCUCCACUUGACAAUAUCCUGGUUUUCACGUUUGAGCAUUGAAAAUGAAAAACAAGUGUUUGGGUAUGUGGUGGAAAUCCCUCUUACGUGAUUUCUAAAAAAGGGUUAAUCAAAGAUUGCAUUCAUGAAUAAUAGAACUACCAAAAUGUGGACAUGCUAAUUUCUGCUUGGUAUUCCAAUGAGCAUAGAUGAACAAUAAAUUUAUAUAUUGCAUUAUCGUAACAUUCAAAAUAAUAUUAAUUUCGAAAAUUGUAGGGAUGUGUGUGACUAUUUAUAUUAUUUUAUGCUUUGGUGGAACGGUGAAGAAUUAGGUCAUCCACUUUGCUCAAUGAGUAUUCUCCGUUACACAUUUUAAG